UCAGAUGCAAAGGCUCCAGAGGUC
rnacentral:siRNA from 1 species